CAUGAUUUUCAGAAGUGAUUUUGCGUUAGGCUAGCUUUUCAUCUAAACAUGAACUUGGCUCUGGCCGGAAGGUGGUGGUCGUUCGCUGCGAGGGCAUCAACAUUUCUGGCGAUUUCUACAGAAAUAAGUUGUAGUACCUGGCUUUCCCCCACAAGCAGAUGAACACCAACCUUUCCCGAAGCCCCUACCACUUCCGGACCCCCAGCUGCAUCUUCUGCAGAUCGUGCAAGCCAUGCUGCCCCACAAGACCAAGCAAGGGCAGGCCUCCUUGGACCACCUCCAGGUGUUGGACAGCAUCCCACGGCCCUACGACAAGAAAAUGCAGAUGGUGGUUCCUGCGGUCCUCAAGGUCGUGCGUCUGAAGCCCACAAGGAAGUUUGCCUAACUGGGGUGCAUGGCUCACAAGGUUGGCUGGAAGUACCAGGUAGUGACAGCCACCCUGGAGGAGAAGAGGAAGAAGAAAGCCAAGAUCCACUACCAGAAGAAGAAACAGCUCAUGAGACUACGGAAACAAGCCGAGAAGAACAUGGAGAAGAAAACUGAUAAAUACACAGAGGUCCUCAAGACCCAUGGACUCCUGGUCUGAGCCCAAUAAAGACUGUUAAUUCCUCA